rnacentral:rRNA from 1 species
UACGUAGGGUGCGAGCGUUAAUCGGAAUUACUGGGCGUAAAGCGUGCGCAGGCGGUUCGUGAUGUCUGGUGUGAAAGCCCCGGGCUUAACCUGGGAAUUGCAUCGGAAACUAGCGGGCUGGAGUGUGGCAGAGGGGGGUGGAAUUCCACGUGUAGCAGUGAAAUGCGUAGAGAUGUGGAGGAACACCGAUGGCGAAGGCAGCCCCCUGGGCUAACACUGACGCUCAUGCACGAAAGCGUGGGGAGCAAACAGG